rnacentral:rRNA from 1 species
GAUGAACGCUGGCGGCGUGCCUAAUACAUGCAAGUCGAGCGAACAGACGAGGAGCUUGCUCCUCUGACGUUAGCGGCGGACGGGUGAGUAACACGUGGAUAACCUACCUAUAAGACUGGGAUAACUUCGGGAAACCGGAGCUAAUGCCGGAUAAUAUAUUGAACCGCAUGGUUCAAUAGUGAAAGACGGUUUUGCUGUCACUUAUAGAUGGAUCCGCGCCGCAUUAGCUAGUUGGUAAGGUAACGGCUUACCAAGGCAACGAUGCGUAGCCGACCUGAGAGGGUGAUCGGCCACACUGGAACUGAGACACGGUCCAGGCUCCUACGGGAGGCAGCAGUAGGGAAUCUUCCGCAAUGGGCGAAAGCCUGACGGAGCAACGCCGCGUGAGUGAUGAAGGUCUUCGGAUCGUAAAACUCUGUUAUUAGGGAAGAACAAAUGUGUAAGUAACUAUGCACGUCUUGACGGUACCUAAUCAGAAAGCCACGGCUAACUACGUG